UAGCGUGGAUGGUCAAAAGUUGCCUGUACUGUGUGUAGUAGAAACAUAAUAAUGUUUUGUUUUUGUUCUUUUGUUGCAUUUCCACAUCCAAUCCAUCCAUCGAUAUAUACAUGUCAUGUCGAUUAUUAGUGGCGACACAAAAAGAUUCUCUGCCAACAAAAAAUGUGUUCUUCACCAACACUAGGCGUACCGUGCUCACAUAGUUUCUUCUAGUGUUACUAGUGGUUUCUAUAGAAUUGAGGGUUCAAUGCUAGUGUUACUAGUGCUUUCUAUAGACUUUGUAGUUAGUGAUAAAACAACAAAGUCUAGUAUGGAAACAACAUCUGAACUUGCGAGUUCAUUCCUUCAUUCAUUCAGAUCAAUGUGCAUGCGUGCACGCAGCACUGACAAGACAAAAGCAGAUGAUGUUUCUUUAUUCAGAUAGGUAGAGACAGGCUCCCUAAUUACUAGUACUACUUAGAAGCAGUGCGGCGGCCGGGGUUGAUCCUGGCACAUGGCCUGCAGGAGCUGGAACACCUGCUGAACCUUCCAUGGCUGUUUCCCCAUCGAUCUCCAGCUGCAGGUCGAUGAUGGAGAUGGCAUCGCACUGCUGCUGCAGCUGCUUCCAACACUUGAUCUGGUUCUCCUCGUACUCACUGAAGACAGGCCCCGGCAGUAUCAGGGCCGGGAUGCAUUGCUGCCGGAAGAACUCCUCGCACUUGCUCAGCUGCUGCUGCUGCUCGUCAGCAACAAGGUGAUAUGUCGGACGGCGUACUGGCUCCGUACUUUGGUCCCCAAAGUUUCCGACGGGGGCCAAGGAUUUUACGGAUUUUGGGUGCAGCCGUAUGGAGACGGUAGCACGGGCUUUCUACAGCCAGUUUGGGUGGCGCGCCGAGCGCAGGCUGGAUAAUGGAUGAUCUUUUCAGUCUUUAUGUUUUUCUUUUGAGCACUCUUGAAAUGUACUUGUGGAUGUUGUUGCGAUACUUCACUUAAUAAUAUUAUGGAUGUGUGCAUCGAUUGAUGCA